GUAUAAGAGACAGCAGUCGCCGCGGGAAUACAGAGGGUGCGAGCGUUAAUCGGAUUUACUGGGCGUAAAGCGUGCGUAGGCGGCUUCUUAAGUCGGAUGUGAAAUCCCUGAGCUUAACUUAGGAAUUGCAUUCGAUACUGGGAAGCUAGAGUAUGGGAGAGGAUGGUAGAAUUCCAGGUGUAGCGGUGAAAUGCGUAGAGAUCUGGAGGAAUACCGAUGGCGAAGGCAGCCAUCUGGCCUAAUACUGACGCUGAGGUACGAAAGCAUGGGGAGCAAACAGGAUUAGAUACCCCUGUAGUCCCUGUCUCUUAUAC
rnacentral:rRNA from 1 species